UGGGGAAUUUUGGACAAUGGGCGAAAGCCUGAUCCAGCAAUGCCGCGUGAGUGAAGAAGGCCUUCGGGUUGUAAAGCUCUUUUGUCAGGGAAGGAACGGUGAGAGCUAAUAUCUCUUGCUAAUGACGGUACCUGAAGAAUAAGCACCGGCUAACUACGUGCCAGCAGCCGCGGUAAUACGUAGGGUGCAAGCGUUAAUCGGAAUUACUGGGCGUAAAGCGUGCGCAGGCGGUUUUGUAAGUCUGAUGUGAAAUCCCCGGGCUCAACCUGGGAAUUGCAUUGGAGACUGCAAGGCUAGAAUCUGGCAGAGGGGGGUAGAAUUCCACGUGUAGCAGUGAAAUGCGUAGAUAUGUGGAGGAACACCGAUGGCGAAGGCAGCCCCCUGGGUCAAGAUUGACGCUCAUGCACGAAAGCGUGGGGAGCAAACAGGAUUAGAUACCCCUGUAGUCCCUGAGCGGGCUGGCAAGGCGCAU
rnacentral:rRNA from 1 species